rnacentral:rRNA from 1 species
CCUACGGGGGGCUGCAGUGAGGAAUAUUGGUCAAUGGACGAGAGUCUGAACCAGCCAAGUAGCGUGAAGGAUGACUGCCCUAUGGGUUGUAAACUUCUUUUAUAUGGGAAUAAAAUGUUCCACGUGUGGGAUUUUGUAUGUACCAUAUGAAUAAGGAUCGGCUAACUCCGUGCCAGCAGCCGCGGUAAUACGGAGGAUCCGAGCGUUAUCCGGAUUUAUUGGGUUUAAAGGGAGCGUAGGUGGAUUGUUAAGUCAGUUGUGAAAGUUUGCGGCUCAACCGUAAAAUUGCAGUUGAAACUGGCAGUCUUGAGUACAGUAGAGGUGGGCGGAAUUCGUGGUGUAGCGGUGAAAUGCUUAGAUAGCACGAAGAACUCCGAUUGCGAAGGCAGUUCACUGGACUGCAACUGACGCUGAGGCUCGAAAGUGUGGGUAUCAAACAGGAUUAGAUACCCUUGUAGUC